GAUGGCGGGGUAACGGCCCACCAUGUCAGCGAUGGGUAGCCGAGCUGAGAGGAUGAUCGGCCACACCGGAACUGAGACACGGUCCAGACUCCUACGGGAGGCAGCAGUGGGGAAUAUUGGGCAAUGGGCGCAAGCCUGACCCAGCAACGCCGCGUGAGGGAUGAAGGCUUUCGGGUUGUAAACCUCUGUCCUUGGUGACGAAAAAAAUGACGGUAUCCAAGGAGGAAGCCCCGGCUAACUACGUGCCAGCAGCCGCGGUAAUACGUAGGGGGCGAGCGUUGUCCGGAAUUACUGGGCGUAAAGGGUGCGUAGGUGGCCUUUUAAGUUGGAUGUGAAAUACCCGGGCUUAACUUGGGGGGUGCAUUUAAUACUGGAAGGCUAGAGUGCAGGAGAGGAAAGCAGAAUUCCUAGUGUAGCGGUGAAAUGCGUAGAUAUUAGGAGGAACACCAGUGGCGAAGGCGGCUUUCUGGACCGUAACUGACACUGAGACACGAAAGCGUGGGGAGCAAACAGGAUUAGAUACCCUGGUAGUCCACGCGGUAAACGAUGAAUACUAGGUGUAGGGGGUAUCAACCCCCCCUGUGCCGCAGCUAACGCAAUAA
rnacentral:rRNA from 1 species